rnacentral:lncRNA from 1 species
ACUAUCAUCCUAACUGCACAUCCCUUUAUCCAAGGGCUGAAAAUCUGAUAGCACUAAUGACUUGGUGCUAUUAAUAGUAUAGUAGCCUAGUUCUAUAUAUAUACACAUAUAUAGAGUGAGGCUGGUAUGCUUCUGGAAGCACGGAGCCCUUCGUGCCUCCAAGUCGUUUUCGUUGUUGGAACUUUUGAAUUGACGAUUAGCUCCGUUAGACUUGAUCUAGAAUAUUACAUAUAUAUACACACACACACAUACAUAUACAGAGAGUAGGUCUUGUGUGCUAUUAGGAGCAUGGAGGCUCUUAAGCCGUUUUCGAUGAUGUAACUAACAAAUCGAUAAUCGACUCUAUUAGACUUGAUCUAACGUAUUUGAACUAUCUAGAAAAUAAAUUUUGCUGUUUUUCGAUAUCGAUUAUCUAGUAAUCGAAAAAACUCAAAAUCAACGGUUGAAAAUAAAAAUCUCACAAAAAGUUAUGAUGUAGCACUGAAAUUUUCGAUCAGAGAUAUUGAUCUUGUUGUAGAUAGUAUAAAGAAUUUUCUAUCAAAAUUUCAUCUGAUUUGAAUACUUCUACACUGUUAAACUUGCAAACGGUAUACAUCAACCAUUAAAAAUUGUUGAUUUUGAAUCUUUUUGAUCACUAGGUAAAUGAUAUCAAAAAUUCACAAAAAUUAUUUUCUAAAUACUUCAAAUACGCUAGAUCAAGUCUAACUGAGCCGAUUGUCGUUUCGAAAGUUCCACCAUCGAAAACGGCUUAGGAGCAUGGAGGCCUUCGUGCUCCUAAUAGCACACAAGUACUAUACUCUAUAUAUAUAGUCCGGCUACUAUACUCUUAUGAGUAUGAUUACCUUCGUACUCAUAUGUUGUUUUCAGUGAUAGAACUUUCGAAUCGACGAUCCAUACCGUUAAACAUUAUCUAGAGCAUUUAAAACUUUUAGAAAUCAAAAUUUAUAAUCUUUUAACAUCAUUUAUCUUACGACCAAAAGAUCUCAAAAUUGACAAUUUUUAAUGGCCAGUAUGGGAUACUUGUUAGUUUAACGGUAUAAAAAAAAAUCAGAAUCGAUUGAAUUUUUGAUAGAAAAUUCUAUUCACUACCUGGAUAAAGAUCAAUAACUCCGAUUUUAAAUUGAAGGAUUCGAUCAUCCAUUUUUAGGAAGUCGUUUGAUUUUGACCGUUCAUUUUAUACCCGCUUGAUGGAUUUUAUUAUGAUUUCGAAAAAUUACAAAAUUUAUUUUUCAGAAGUUUCAAAUACUCUAGAUCAUAUUUAACAGAGUUGAUCGUCGAUUCGGAAGCUCAAUCAUUGAAAACAACUUAUGAGUACAAAGGGCUCUAUACUCAUAAGAGUAUAGUAGCCCUACCACACACACACAUAAGAGUGAGGUUGGUAUGCUUCUGGAAGCAUGGAGCCCUCCGUGCUUCCAAGUCGUUUUCGAUGUUGGGAUUUUCGAAUCGACGAUCAGCUCCGUUAUACUUUAUCUAGAGUAUUUGAAGUACCUAGAAAAUAAAUUUCGUAAUUUUUCGAUAUCAUUUGCAUGGUGAUCGAAGGGGCUCAAGAUCAAUAAUUUUAAUAGUCGUGGUGAGCCGUUUGCAAGUUUAACGGUGUAGAAAUAUCCAAAUCACAUGAAAUUUGAUAGAAAAUUCUUUAUACUAUAUAAAAUAAGAUCAAUAUUUUUGAUCUAAAAUUUUAACGUCAUAUCAUCAUAUUUUAUAACAUUUUUAUUUUCAGUCGUUGAUUUUGAGCCUUUUCGAUCACUAGGCAAACGAUAUAAAAAAAUUGUAAAAUUUUGAGCCAUUUCGAUCACUAGGCAAAUGAUAUCAAAAAAUUGUGAAAUUUAUUUUUUAGGUAUUUCAAGUACUCUAGAUUAAGUCUAAUGGGGCUGAUCGUCAAUUCGAAAGUUCCAAUGUCGAAAACGACUUGGACCAGAAGCAUACCAGCCUCACUCUACACACACACAUACACACAGACACACACACACACAUAUAUAUAUAGAGUUGAGCUAGAAUACUCUCAAAAGCACCAAGAGGUCGGUGCUUUUGAGUUUUUAACCCUUGGAUGGAAAAAUGUAAGAGGUUGGGAUGAUGGUGGUAGGUGGUGGUAGGUGGACUAGUGUUUGAUCCAAGGGCUAUUAGUAAGCAAGGAGUAGAUCCAAGGGCUAGAAGCCUAGAAGCACCAAGGGGGUAAUACUUCUAAAAGUAUUCUAGAUAAAUUCUAUAUAUAUAUAUAUAUAUAAAGAGAGUUGAGCUANUUAUUUGAUUUGAAUACUUCUACACUAUUAAACUUGCAAACGGUAUACAUUAACCAUUAAAAAUUGUUGAUUUUGAAUCUUUUUGAUCACUAGGUAAAUGAUAUCGAAAAUUCACAGAAAUUAUUUUCUAAAUACUUCAAAUACGCUAGAUCAAGUCUAACUGAGCCGAUUGUUGUUUCGAAAGUUUCACCAUCGAAAACGGCUUAGGAGCAUGGAGGCCUUCGUGCUCCUAAUAGCACACAAGUACUAUAUAUAUAUAGUCCGGCUACUAUACUCUUAUGAGUAUGAUUACCUUCGUACUCAUAUGUUGUUUUUAGUGAUAGAACUUUCGAAUCGACAAUCCAUACCGUUAAACAUUAUCUAGAGCAUUUAAAACUUUUAGAAAUCAAAAUUUAUAAUCUUUUAACAUCAUUUAUCUUGCGACCAAAAGAUCUUAAAAUUGACAAUUUUUAAUCGCCGGUAUGGGAUACUUGUUAGUUUAACGGUAUAAAAAAAAAUCAGAAUCGUUGAAUUUUUGAUAGAAAAUUCUAUUCACUACCUGGAUAAAGAUUAAUAACUCCGAUUUUAAAUUGAAGGAUUUGAUCAUCCAUUUUUAGGAAGUCGCUUGAUUUUGACCGUUCAUUUUAUACCCGCUUGAUUGAUUUUAUUAUGAUUUCGAAAAAUUACAAAAUUUAUUUUUUAGAAGUUUCAAAUACUCUAGAUCAUAUUUAACAGAGUUGAUUGUCGAUUCGGAAGCUCAAUCAUUGAAAACAACUUAUGAGUACAAAGUGCUCUAUACUUAUAAGAGUAUAGUAGCCCUAUUGCACACACACACACACACACACACACACACAUAUACAUAAGAGUGAGGUUGGUAUGCUUCUGGAAGCAUGGAGCCUUCCGUGCUUCCAAGUCGUUUUCGAUGUUGGGAUUUUCGAAUCGACGAUCAGUUCCGUUAUACUUGAUCCAGAGUAUUUGAAGUACUUAGAAAAUAAAUUUCGUAGUUUUUUGAUAUCAUUUGCAUGGUUAUCGAAGAGGAUCAAGAUCAAUAGUCGUGGUGAGCCGUUUGCAAGUUUAACGGUGUAGAAAUAUCCAAAUCACAUGAAAUUUGAUAGAAAAUUCUUUAUAGUAUAUAAAAUAAGAUCAAUAUCUUUGAUCUAAAAUUUUAACGUCAUAUCAUCAUAUUUUGUAACAUUUUUAUUUUCAGUCGUUGAUUUUGAGCCCUUUCGAUCACUAGGCAAAUGAUAUAAAAAAAUUGUAAAAUUUUGAGCCAUUUCGAUUACUAGGCAAAUGAUAUCAAAAAAUUGUGAAAUUUAUUUUUUAGGUAUUUCAAAUACUCUAGAUUAAGUUUAACGGAGGUGAUCGUCAAUUCGAAAGUUCCAAUAUCGAAAACGACUUGGACCAGAAGCAUACCAGCCUCACUCUACACACACACACACACACACACACACACACACACACACAUAUAUAGAGUUGAGCUAGAAUACUCUCAAAAGCACCAAGAGGUCGGUGCUUUUGAGUUUUUAACCCUUGGAUGGAGAAAUGUAAGAGGUUGGGAAGAUGGUGGUAGGUGGUGGUAGGUGGUGGUAGGUGGACUAGUGUUUGAUCCAAGGGCUAUUAGUAAGCAAGGAGUAGAUCCAAGGGCUAGAAACCUAGAAGCACCAAGGGGGUAAUACUUCUAAAAGUAUUCUAGAUAAAUUAUAUAUAUAUAUAUA